rnacentral:lncRNA from 1 species
GUCCAGUGUUUGACAAAUCGUCAUAGGCUUUCCUGCAAUACAGCUUCUUACUAAACUCAGCUGCCACAGAACCCAUAGUAGUAAAAUUGUUUACCUUUAUACCAAGAAGCUUCGGAAAGCACCAAAAUCUGUAUUCAGCGUGUUCAAGCGUUUCAUGCUGUGAGACCUAAAAUCUUAUGAGCUUGUCCAAAACACUGAAACAUGUCAGCAGGGCCUAUGGUGAUUGCAUGUGUGCUAAAUGUGCCUGUGAAGGGAUCAAGCAUGCUGUCCUUAUUGAGGAGCAGAAAAUUGUUGUCAAAAGUGUUGAAGGAACAAGCACAGAGGCAGAAAGCUAAAUU